GCUUAAUGUAGUUGUUCUGGUGUCUAUAGCCUGUCCCUGCAUGCCUUAUAAUGCAAACACGGCGGCACUGCAGCACUGGCGUUAGUUAACAUGGCAGAUCAUAUGGGUGGAGCAUUGUGAUGUCACAUGGGGGGGGGGGCGGCAAACUUUACUUUUGCCUAGGGCGGCAAAAAUCCUUGCACCGGCCCUGUGCCCAGCAUUAAUGUAGACCUUCCAAGUCAAAUGACUUUCCAGUCCUCCAUCAGGCAGUGCCACCUACAUAGUGUUUGGAAAGGCGAAAUGUGUAAUUCUAGUUAGUACAUGUUUAAAUGUGCUUGCGCUACAACACUCGUGUCACAAACGGGGAGUGGGCUCCAACAUGGAAAGAUGGCAACUUACUCAAAAUUAGAUCUUGGCCUAGCACACUAGAUAUUUGCACAUUAUUGGAUACAUGCCUUCUGUAUUUAAGUUUCCAUGCUGGCUCAAAGGUGGUAUCGGUAAAGGGUAGACAUACUAGAAACUAUUUGUGAC